rnacentral:rRNA from 1 species
GGCUCAGGAUGAACGCUAGCUACAGGCUUAACACAUGCAAGUCGAGGGGCAGCAUUGGGAUAGCUUGCUAUUCAGAUGGCGACCGGCGCACGGGUGAGUAACGCGUAUCCAACCUUCCUGCCAGUAGGGAACAGCCCGGCGAAAGUCGGAUUAAUGCCCUAUGUUCUUCAAUGCGGACAUCUAAGUUGAAGGAAAGAUUCAUCGCUGGCAGAUGGGGAUGCGUCCGAUUAGCUUGCCGGCGGGGUAACGGCCCACCGGGGCGACGAUCGGUAGGGGUUCUGAGAGGAAGGUCCCCCACACUGGUACUGAGACACGGACCAGACUCCUACGGGAGGCAGCAGUGAGGAAUAUUGGUCAAUGGGCGUAAGCCUGAACCAGCCAAGUAGCGUGCAGGAAUGACGGCCCUACGGGUUGUAAACUGCUUUUAUGCGGGGAUAAAGUGCGGCACGUGUGCCGCUUUGCAGGUACCGCAUGAAUAAGGACCGGCUAAUUCCGUGCCAGCAGCCGC